rnacentral:rRNA from 1 species
UACGAAGGGGGCUAGCGUUGCUCGGAAUCACUGGGCGUAAAGCGCACGUAGGCGGACUCUUAAGUCGGUGGUGAAAUCCUGGAGCUCAACUCCAGAACUGCCUUCGAUACUGGGAGUCUUGAGUCCGGAAGAGGUGAGUGGAACUCCUAGUGUAGAGGUGGAAUUCGUAGAUAUUAGGAAGAACACCAGUGGCGAAGGCGGCUCACUGGUCCGGUACUGACGCUGAGGUGCGAAAGCGUGGGGAGCAAACAGG